AGAAAGGAUGCAGACUACUGGCUCUCAGAGGAUUGCUACCUGGUGAGAGUGGACACACAAGAGAGCCUGAGAGCUUUAACUGAGAGUUGAAGUUAUUCUGGAGGAGGAAGAAGGUGGUGUGACCAACCCAUGAGGGUUUGCAUCGGGGGACAAAUGUUGAGUGCAGCAUUUGAAUGGCACGCCGUCUUCUCCAGACAGGCAAGAAGAAAGAGGGCUUUGUAGCUAGAGGAAGAGCAUGCGCAAUGGCAAGGGAGACGCAAAGGCUCAGUGUUUGCCCAGAGUGAGCUGCUUUUGGAGUGGUCAUGAAUUAAAAUGGAUAUCCAACUGUUCCAUGAGGCAACGAAUGGGGAUUUUACAUAUUAAAUCAGCAUUGUCUGCUGGAGCUCUCUGCUACCUGGGAAGGCUCUGCAUUUGGGCUGUCAAAGCCACAAGCUCAGACAAUGAAGAUGGCAAACUGAAGUCUUCCUCUAUAGGCACAACUUUGCAUCAGACAUUUGAUGGGAGAGGUCCAUCUUUGAAGGGAAGUUUUAUUUAAGUCUGUCCCUGGAUCCACAUCAUCCGUACGUCUGUCUACAGGGCAAAAAACUUCAUCUUUCAUGAGUGCAAUUUCAAACUUGGUGCCAACGAGAGACAUCUUCCCUGGACUCAAAUGCGCGAAGCCUGAACAGGACAUCUUGAGUGUUAGCUUCUCUGGGAUGGCUGCGGUGUGCAGCACAUUUUUGUUAAGGUGUUAUUCAAAGUUUCUGAUUAACAUAAGUUUUUCUUAAAAUUAUACAAAAACAUAAUACCAUGAUUAUGGAAAUAAAAAGCCACCCACAAGCUUACUAUCUUUA